AGUGAACGCUGGCGGCGUGCCUAACACAUGCAAGUCGUGCGCGAAAGGGAGCAAUCCUGAGUAAAGCGGCGAACGGGUGAGUAACACGUGGUUAACCUGCCUGGAUGUGGGGGAUACCCCGGGGAAACUCGGGACAAUACCGCAUGAUGUCUCUCGGGCGUCGGCCCGGGAGAGCAAAGCCGGGGACCGCAAGGCCUGGCGCAUCCGGAGGGGACCGCGGCCGAUUAGCUAGUUGGCGGGGUAAUGGCCCACCAAGGCGACGAUCGGUAGCCGGCCUGAGAGGGUGAUCGGCCACACCGGAACUGAGACACGGUCCGGACUCCUACGGGAGGCAGCAGUGGGGAAUUUUGCGCAAUGGGCGAAAGUCUGACGCAGCAACGCCGCGUGGAGGAUGAAGGUGCUCUGCAUUGUAAACUCCUGUCGGCCGGGAAGAAUCGGCGGGGUGCUAAUCAGCCCCGUCUUGACUGUACCGGCAAAGGAAGCCCCCGGCUAACUCCGUGCCAGCAGCC
rnacentral:rRNA from 1 species